rnacentral:rRNA from 1 species
UAAUACAGAGGGUGCAAGCGUUGUUCGGAAUUAUUGGGCGUAAAGCGCGUGUAGGCGGCUUUGCAAGUCGGAUGUGAAAGCCCUCGGCUCAACCGAGGAAGUGCGUUCGAAACUGCAGAGCUUGAGUACCGGAGAGGGUGGCGGAAUUCCCCAAGUAGAGGUGAAAUUCGUAGAUAUGGGGAGGAACACCGGUGGCGAAGGCGGCCACCUGGACGGUCACUGACGCUGAGACGCGAAAGCGUGGGUAGCAAACAGGAUUAGAUACCCUGGUAGUCCACGCCGUAAACGAUGAGAACUAGGUGUCGUGGGUGUUGACCCCCGCGGUGCCGUAGCUAACGCAUUAAGUUCUCCGCCUGGGAAGUACGGUCGCAAGACUA